UGAAGGCUGGUCCGGGCCGAUUCGGUUCACAGCUUGAGCACUGCUUUUCCUUAUCAGUGUUUGUGUUGCACAACAGCUAUACUGACAGAGUACUAAAGGCAGUGCACAGAGUCAGUAAGUGUGUGAGUAGGCUGCAGAAUGGCAACCGAAAAGAACACGCUGCUGUCCUUGAUCCUCAUCGCCGGGCUCACAGCACUCGUAGCUACUGGGCAAAAAGCAGAGCAGCCAGAAGUGGUGACCAAAUAUGGGACUGCCCGAGGAUUCCAAAUCAAA